rnacentral:misc_RNA from 1 species
UGAAAGCCUUCUUCAGUGCUUGAUGCUCGGAGCAGGGAUGGAGUUCCUUUGAUCUAAGGUUGCCACUCACAGGCACCUUGUUCCCUUUUGAUGCAUGACCAAGGGGCAGUGCAGCCACCAACGGAAAAAUUGCAUCAAAUAAUUGCAAGGACUGCUCUGUUUGUGAGCAAACAUGGUGGGCAGUCAGAAAUUGUUCUCAGGGUGAAGCAGGGAAACAAUCCAACAUUUGGGUUCUUGAUGCCUGACCAUGGUCUUCAUGCAUACUUUAGGUAUCUUGUUGAUCAUCCUGAACUUUUACAAUCUGAUAGUGAUUUGAAUGCUCAAAGUGAAGGACCAAAGACUUCUAAUGAGCACAAGGAACAUGACGGUGGUGGAGGUGCUUUAUCUAUGCUUGGUUCUGUUUAUGGGUUUGGGGAGGAUGAGGAGCCUGCAAAUGGGGAUGAUCCUGGAUCCAGAGUUUCCAGUGUACAAGUGGAGUCAUUGGAUACCUCUAACAUUUCCCGUCCACUUGGAAGGGCUGAAUCUAGUUCUAAGGCAUUUGAAAAUGGUGAGAAAGAAACAGAUGAGAGAGGUUCUACUCAUUCACUUCGUUCUAGUAAAGAUAAAGAAAAGGUUCCUUCACUGAAAAAGAAUAAUUUGGUCAGUGCUUCCAAGAGUGGUAGUAGAAGCAGCAUGCGGAAGGAAAGUGACUUCAGUUCUUCUGCUGUAGCAGAAAAGACAAAGACAGACAUGUCUGGUCUAGGAGCUGUCACUAAGACUGGACCGAUGGUGGAGCCUCCAUUUGAACUGAAGAGAUUGAUUGAUAAGAUAGUGGAGUUCAUUCUGAGGAAUGGGAAGCAGUUUGAGUCAACUCUGAUGGAACAGGACAGUAAACAUGGGAGAUUCCCAUUUCUCCUUCCGUCCAACCAAUAUCAUCCCUACUAUCUAAAAGUACUCCAGAAAGCUCAAGAGUCAAAAGUCCAUGGAUCAGAAAGGAGAUCUUCUUUGAAGGAAAGGGAUUCUACCUCUUUAAGGGCUUCGGAGUAUGAUCUGCCAUAUGAAAUUGAUAAGAAAGAGAAGUUUAAGAUGGUGAUUGGCAAAUCCAAGAAGGAAACACAAGACUCUCUGACUAGAACUUCAGAGCAAGAGGCUGGGGUGAAUGUGGAUGCUGCUGCCGCUGCUGCUAUCCUUCAGGCAGCCACUAGAGGUAUUAAGAAUCCCAAUUUGAGUAUCAUCUCAGGCUCAUCUAAGAACGGCGAUAGUCAGGGUCAAAGCAGUGAGGGCGCCCAAGCAUCGAGCUUCCUCAAUGUCCCACCAUCUGGGCUCAGUAUAGUUGGUCAGAAGUCUGACAGAAGGAUGGGACAUGGUGUUUCGAUUCCAAAGGUGAAGGAAAUUGCAAAGUCUGCUGCUGCGGAAGCUGCAAGUGAAGCAGACUCCUCUGAAGCACACUUGAGCAAAGAGCAGAAGCUAAAAGCAGAGAGGCUGAGAAGGGCAAAGAUGUUUGUUUCCCUGUUAAAAGGUGGUGGAGCAGCUCCUGCCAAAAGAGAUUCACUUGGAGGGUCAGUGGAGCCACAAGGAUCUGCCUUAUCAGGUUCUGUUACAGAGGUUAAUGUUGCUACUAAAGAAAGAGAAGGCAGUGCAGCUCUGGCAGAAUUGACUGCUGUGGAGAGAGAAGGCAGUACUGCCCCAUUAGAUAACAACAAUGCGUCGAAUGAAAAUGAGAAACCUGAAAUGCAACAUACUGCUGAAGAGCAUGAGCGACGAUCGAGAAGAAAAUACAGGUCAAGAUCUGGUAUACACGAAGAUGAGGAUGAAGAAGAGGAAGAGGGGCAGGAGGAGGAGGAGGAGCAGCGUUCCAGGAAGAAGCGCCGGUCAUCAAGAAAAGAUGAAGAUGAAGAAAGUGAAGAGAUAAGGGAUGAUAAGCGAUCCAGAAAAAAGAGGCGAUCACGCCGUCACAGACACAAAGAUAGUGAAAAUGCAGGCGAGGAUGAAGAUGAUGAAGAUAAUAGGCGAUCAAGAAAGAAGCACCACAAAAGGCAUUCAUCCCCUGAAAAUGAUGAUGAUCAAAGAGAUGCAGAGAGACAUCAUAAGCAUGGAAGCAAAAAGCAUUCAAGUCAUCGGUCUUCACGUGAAAAUUGGAAAGAUGACGAUGAGGGGGACUAUAAACAUUCCAAGAAGAAACAUAGAUCUCAUAGAAGCUCCCAUCGCAGUAGAGAUAGACAUGAACACAAGACCAAAGAUUCUAGUGAUGAUGAGUCUGAUAGAUCUCGUAGAACUUCCCAUAGGAUUAAAGAUAGACACAAACACAGGACUAAACAUUCUAGCGACAAUGAACCUGAAGGCAGACAUAAGCAUGCAAGCUCUUCUGAUGAUGAAGAGCAGCAGUAUGACCUGGGUGGUAAGAAUGAGAAAGGUACCAAAGAAAGAGAAGAACUGGAAGAAGGUGAGAUCCUUGCCAAAGCGUCAGAUCAAUCAAGAGGAAGUUUGGGAGGUUCUGUCAGCAGAGAAGCUUCAGUCGAUGUAUCUAGUUCCCAGCAAAGAGCCCCAUCUCAGCCGUCUGAAUCAACUGAGAUAUCAGAUGAUCUUAGGGCCAAAAUUCGCGCAAUGUUAAUGGCGACUAGGACGUAGUUGAGGAACUGCCACUAUUGGUGCUUAACUGAGAAUCCUUUGCAGUGUAAAGGGCAUUGUAAAGCCCAUGUUGAAUCUUGAUUUACUAUUAGAUAAUUCUGGUUUUCAUCCUCAUAUUUCAUUAUGCUAUUUAAACUUUUUGCCUG